rnacentral:misc_RNA from 1 species
AUGUGGACUAGAUAGUGCCACCAGUGCCACCAGUGUCACCAGUGUCACCAGUGUCUAAUGUUGUGUUGUGGUGAGAGGAGGAGACGAAGGACCUUCUGCUAUGUGUAGUUCCCUAGGGCAUGACACUACGGCCCGCCCUGGCGCCUGUGCUCAGUUCCCACAUAUACGGAGUUACAUGAACGAGGUGCGGGGGGAGUGCCUGGUGCUGCCAGCAGGGCCAGUGCCAGGGUGUAUCACCGUCAUCUCCACCAGCCAGCCCCACAUCCGGCUCCUGGCCCACUACCACCUACAGCCGGGCUACUGUGCAGCCUAUGGGACCCGGGCGUUGACAGCCUCCCGUUCUGCGUCAUCUCCUCAGCUGACAUGUGUCAACAAGGAUGUCAUCAAUGACGUCAUCAGCCGUAAGCAAUGACAGUGUUGCCACCUCCCGACUGCUGGCAAUGUUGCCAUCUUCCAAUGUAAUCUAAUCUUUAAAUUUUAAACUUAUAACAAAUAUUACUUAUUAAAAAGUGUUACCAAACGCUACACAACAUCUUGAGGACUAAUGCAUUGUUACCAGCACUAAAGUGUAAGGAAAGCGACAGUGUUGCCAAGGAAAGGUUUUGUUAUCAACACUACAGCAGUAUUGCCAAUGUCAAAAAGAGUGUUACCAAUUGCAGAGUCGUGAUAAUUGUAUGACAACAGUGUUACCUACGCCAGGCAGUGAUACCAACAACAGACAGUGAUACCAACACCUGCCAGUGAUACCAAGACCUGCCAGUGAUACCAACACCUGCCAGUGAUACCAACACCUGCCAGUGAUACCAACACCUGCCAGUGAUACCAACAAUACUUAUGUCUGAGUGUUUAUUGAGAAGUUGGAGGAAAUAAUUAUAUUAAAUAAAUCCCAUUCAAACUUA